rnacentral:rRNA from 1 species
UACGGAGGGGGCGAGCGUUAUUCGGAAUUAUUGGGCGUAAAGGGCGCGUAGGCGGCUUUUCAAGUGACGGGUGAAAUCCCUCGGCUUAACCGAGGAACUGCCUGUCAGACUGGAAGGCUUGAGACCGGGAGAGGUGAGUGGAAUUCCCAGUGUAGCGGUGAAAUGCGUAGAUAUUGGGAGGAACACCAGUGGCGAAGGCGGCUCAUUGGACCGGAACUGACGCUGAGGCGCGAAAGCGUGGGGAGCAAACAGG